rnacentral:lncRNA from 1 species
UUUGGCUUUGAGAAAAGCUACCGAUGACCAAUGUGUAAAGACAUACUGUCCACGAGACUGAGAAUUGCUGCCUUGAAAAGCUUUUUAUUGUGCCAUUUCCUGCACACUGAACAUCUAAAUUGUAAGUAAGUUACAAUAGUUAGAACCAUGAGCAAUUGUCUUGCAUACCUCGUGUUGCGAAAUUUGUGCAAUUUAGUGCAUGGUUACUGUUUGGACUGAUUCCUGCCUUACCAUGAUUGUGCGUGUGUGGAUUUUGACACGGAAAACAGCUACAUUUAUGGGCUUGACUCUCUAGAUACCUUAAAUAUGAAGCCUUGAAGAGCUAAGAUAUUGAAGGGUUGGUAUUUUUGUUCAUCUUGCCUAACAAUUAUUUAAGUUUCUAGUAAUGUAUGCAUCUUUGUGAUUAUAACACUAAUGCCUUGUCAAAAUUUUGAUCUUGUUCUGUAUUGACAGUAAGGUGUAUGUUUGUGAAUACCAUGUUCUCCUAUUGGCAAUUUUAUUUGGGAAUAUUCAGUUCUUAUGUUUUACGUAGAGGCGGCCACUUUGAUUUUCAAUUUCCACAUUUCAUAUAAUAUAAUUCUGUGGCCAUUUUGUGGAAACACAAAUUUUUGAGUUAUCAUAUAUUUAAGAAUCAAAGAGGGAUUGAUUUAUUAUUAUGAUUUAUUUCAACUAUUUCAUAUAGUAUUCUUAAAAUGAUUCUAGGAUCAAUUUAUGGAAAUUUAAAUUUCUGAAUGGAAUGAAAUUCAAUAAUAGGUCUCUGUGUGAGACUUGGGUGGUAAAAUUUAGUCAUAGAUUUUUAUGUAAUUUGUUAAAUACGUUAAGAACCAUUUUUGAAUUUUCUGGAACCAGAAAUAGUGAGUUUAGAACCAUUUUCUGGAUCUUCGUUUCCAUGUUUCAUUUUUUGUUUCCUUUGUCUCAUGUAAUGAUCCCAAAAUAGUUUUGCAGUCACUGUAUGAAAAAAAAUGAAUUCUUGGGUAGAAAGACUUAUCCUUUAAUUUUAUUUUCUCUGUUUCACAUAGUGACCCCAGCAUGAUUAAGGGAUCAUUAUAUUGGAACAUAAAUUUUCAGAUCCUAACAUAUUUAAAAAGCAACGAGGGAUCGAAUGAUUUUAUGGUCACUAAAAGGAAAUUCAAACUUUUGGAUUCUGAAUAUAAUCAACAAACGCGACCAAUCAUAACGUACCCAAAAAAAAAAAAAAACUCGAUCUAUCAUAAAUUCUCGUGUCUCACAGAGUGACCUUACAAGUUAUAUGCAUGAGUGCAAGCCCUUGAGGAUUUUAUUUCCUUCAAUGGAAAGGAAAUUGUUUAACACGUAUAACUCGUAGAUAGGCAUACAAAACAUCUUGGAUUCUGUUUCUCAUAUGGCUCAGAACUAAUUGGCAAUUAUUAUGCAUGAACAAAAAUCAUCAAGGAAUUAAACCCAUUUGACAUGCCUUCACUUUGAGCACGAAUCUAAAACAUCAAAUUCCCGGUAUGACAUGCGACCAAUCCAUAAUUAUGAUACAGAUGCAUGAACACAAGGUGCUAAUAAUUUUCUUUCCCAGAAUGUUGCAAAAUCAAUUGAUAAUUGCAACUAGGUAAACCAUAAAGGAUAUUUCUCUUCCAAAUAUACUCCUAUAUAUAUAUAUAUAUAUGUAUAUAUAUAUUAUCCACAAUAGCUCAAGUACAUGAACCCAAAUCACAAUGUACCCUUAUUCCAAAAAAAAAAAAAAAAUACACAAUGUACAACUUUAUGAUCAAAUCUCACCUUCAUGGAUUUAUAUCAGGGGAGAAAUCCAAAAUGAGAGUCUCCAAGUCUUUCCACCAAAACCAUCGUCAAGUUCGCACCUUUUAGACUCCUCCAUAUGCAGAGGCCCCGAACACAUUCAAAGACACGAUCGAAAUCAAUAUUUUUUUUUUCCCUCUCCAAUUGCCAAGAAUCCCAACCUCUUGAAGCUCCACUCAAUCUCGGCGGCUAAUAAUCCCUCGCCAAGUUGCCUCUUUUCCGAGCUCUGCCGAGACUCCGAGACACCGUUUAUCUCUCUGUCUCACUCCGAUCGAUGCCAGAGCAAAAUCCAACCAAAUCCCUCACGAAUCCCCCUCGACGAAUUUAACGAACCCGGCCUAGAGCUCGACGUCAUCGAGAUUCCGCUCGUCCAUGGGGAGGUGGCCAGAAAUCUUGCCGCAAUCGCCGGAGGGAGACGAGAAGGGGCCGCCCGAGAGUGUCUGAGAGCUCGGCGAUGGAAUCGGGAUUGGAAGUCUGAAGAGAUUGGGAUUUUCAUCAAGGUCUAAACAACUAAAAUACAAUAUAUACUUUGCCAUGGGGUUUUGUGCAAAACUUAUCUAUGGUGCUAUGCUGGUCCCCUGGGAUGUGAAUUAGAGGAAGAAUAGGUGGAACCCAGGAGACCAGAUAUCAUUUCC